AUUCCAAUGGAAAGUAGUAAGAAGAAGCAAAUGGGUUUAUCAAUAUUCGAUCUUUCUGCUCCCACCAAACAGCCAUCCAAUUCCAUGGGGCAUCUUCAGGCAGCUACUAACAGACCUCAGUUAGGAGAUCAUUGAUUUGCCGGAUUCAAGAGGCAUCUUCAGGCAACUACUGACAGACCUCAGUUUGGAGAUAGUUGAUUCGCCAGAUUUAAGAGUGAGGCAGCUCUUUCAGGAUGCGAUAGAUCCAUCUUAGUUCUUAGUCCAUCCUUUGGGACUUAGACUUUUAUUUAGUGUUAUUAUGUUAUGGUUUUAGGGAUUGCAUCCCCAUUUCCUUAGACUUGUUGGUUAGUAGAGUUUUGGCAAUGACUUUUAUG